rnacentral:lncRNA from 1 species
CUAAAAAAGUCACACUUUAUUUUAAGGAAUAUGAUCAUUUGCUGAGGUGAAGGCAGGAAGCAUAAGAGCUGUUCUGACACACCCUCUGAGCAGGGAGCCCCUCCCAUGUGCACUUUUAAUGACUGGCUCAUCAUUCUGUUCAUGAGACACUUCAACCAUCAGAGCCGAAGAUGCUUUAUGAUACUAGUGACUAAACAUCCUGCAGAAAAGGCCUAUGUAGGCAAAGUAUAAGAUUUUUACUAAUUGGUAUAGUGUACACUCAAAAUCACAUAUUCACAAAAACAAGUUAGAGAGAGAAAUGAAAAUGCACUUCUUUUCUUUUCUGCCACCUGAGUUAAAUUCAGAUCUCCUUUCCUACAGAAUGCAAAAAAGACACUCAUGAGGCAAUCUGCCGCUGCUACAAAUCACUGGAUGGGUAGAGUUUCCUCCAACGGGGAAUGUACUUAUUUAUAAGUUAGUAGCACACUUCACAUAUAAUGGACCUCAAGUUAGAAAAGCCCCUUUCUGGAAGGCACAGUUUGUUUCCAGUUUUGACUUCGGAUAUGCGGAUCCGGAUGGACAAGUUGGUUUUGUCUCACUGAGAGCCCAGCCUGCAACCAACCCCAGCAGGCACCUCCGAGUCUCUGAUAGGUGCAUCUAAAGGGCAGUUCUCUUCUGGUCACAGUCACGACAAGCAGAUAUGGAGUUCCCGUCGUGGCGCAGUGGUUAACGAAUCCGACUAGGAACCAUGAGGUUGCGGGUUCGGUCCCUGCCCUUGCUCAGUGGGUUGACGAUCCGGCGUUGCCGUGAGCUGUGGUGUAGGUUGCAGACGAGGCUCGGAUCCCUCGUUGCUGUGGCUCUGGCGUAGGCCGGUGGCUACAGCUCCAAUUCAACCCCUAGCCUGGGAACCUCCAUAGGCCGCGGGAGCGGCCCAAGAAAUAGCAACAACAACAACAAAAGACAAAAGACAAAAAAAAAAAAAAAAGAAAUCACUAAUCCUAUUAUGAGAAAGGAAGGCUGAAGAGACAACUGGCAGUAGCCUUUAUGUGUAUUUACUUGAAAAAAUAAGCCCAGGUCUGAGGUAUGUUGAGUAAUCUCCAUGGAGACCCAUCAGUUUCUGCCUGAUGGUGCUGAGCAGAGACAGUUAUCAUGACAUAGGCGGAGGAAGAUGUCCAGGAGGAAAAUGGAUGACACAUCACCCACCUCCUGAUGUCACACUUCGGGGCAGCCUUUUUACUGAAAGCCCUGGGUGUGGGCUGGGAAUACAUUUAAAAUUCUUCCUUUUCCCAGUUACCAAGAGAAUCAUCAUGAUGGGCAGGUGUGGACUCUGAAGACCCUCUACCAUAUCCUCAUGUCCUGGAAGAAGGAU